rnacentral:rRNA from 1 species
CCACCAAGCUUCCAGGAAAGCCACUAAGCUUCAGUCUAGAGUUGACCGUACCGCAAACCGACACAGGUGGGCAGGAUGAAAAUUCUAAGGCGCUUGAGAGAACUCAGGAGAAGGAACUCGGCAAAUUAACACCGUAACUUCGGGAGAAGGUGUGCCCCGGUAGCGUGUAGAGACUUGCUCUCGAAGCGCGAUGGGGUUACAGUGAAAUGGUGGCUGCGACUGUUUAAUAAAAACACAGCACUCUGCAAACACGAAAGUGGACGUAUAGGGUGUGACGCCUGCUCGGUGCCGGAAGGUUAAGUGAUGGGGUGCAAGCUCUUGAUCGAAGCCCCGGUAAACGGCGGCCGUAACAAUAACGGUCCUAAGGUAGCGAAAUUCCUUGUCGGGUAAGUUCCGACCUGCACGAAUGGCGUAACGAUGGCCACACUGUCUCCUCCUGGGACUCAGCGAAGUUGAAAUGUUUGUGAAGAUGCAAUCUACCCGCGGCUAGACGGAAAGACCCCAUGAACCUUUACUGUAGCUUUGCAUUGGACUUUGAACCGGUUUGUGUAGGAUAGGUGGGAGACUGUGAAGCCGGGACGCUAGUUCGGUGGAGUCAACCUUGAAAUACCACCCUGAUUUGUUUGAGGUUCUAACCUUGGUCCGUGAAUCCGGAUCGGGGACCGUGCAUGGUAGGCAGUUUGACUGGGGCGGUCUCCUCCCAAAAGGUAACGGAGGAGUACGAAGGUACGCUUAGGGCGGUCGGACAUCGCCCACAAAGUGCAAUGGCAAAAGCGUGCUUGACUGCGAGACCCACAAGUCGAGCAGGUACGAAAGUAGGUCAUAGUGAUCCGGUGGUUCUGUAUGGAAGGGCCAUCGCUCAACGGAUAAAAGGUACUCUGGGGAUAACAGGCUAAUUCCUCCCAAGAGUUCAUAUCGACGGGGGAGUUUGGCACCUCGAUGUCGGCUCAUCACAUCCUGGGGCUGUAGUCGGUCCCAAGGGUAUGGCUGUUCGCCAUUUAAAGUGGUACGCGAGCUGGGUUUAAAACGUCGUGAGACAGUUUAGUCCCUAUCUGCCGUGGGCGCUGGAAAUUUGAAGGGGGCUGCUCCUAGUACGAGAGGACCGGAGUGGACGAACCUCUGGUGUACCGGUUAUGACGCCAGUCGUAUCGCCGGGUAGCUAAGUUCGGAAGAGAUAAACGCUGAAAGCAUCUAAGCGUGAAACUCGCCUUAAGAUAAGAUUUCCCGGAGU